CUUGAUUUGCCACAACAUAAACUUCCCUCGGUGCAAUUGAGAAUGGAGCAGGAUGGGUGUAUCCUGACUUAAGAAGGCAUUUGCCACAUGAGUAUCAGUCUGCUAUUUCUCAGGUACUCAACAUCAAAGUAACAUGCAGAUAGAUGGUAGUCACAAUCAUCUUCCAGCAUGAUGAAGAUUGAGAGUAAAAUCCAGCAGUGAGAUUCGGAGUCUGAAGAUGCAAAUAGAAAAUAAAAAC
rnacentral:lncRNA from 1 species